UCAAUCGGGCUAAAAAUAUGGUCGGGCUAAAUUGCCAAGCCUAGUACUGAUGCAUGAAGGCUGUGUCUUUGCUUGAGUUUAAGAACGUAGCUUGUCGGUUUUGAUGUUUAAAGUGCUUUUUCUUUAUCUUUAUAUAUCUUUGAAUCUUAAAAAUUUUAGAUGCUACACGGCUAUUCGUAAGCUUUUCUAAUUAAGUAGAUGUAUUUUGAAUUCAAAAGACAAAAACCUUAAAAUAAAAUUGUGAUGCUUGUAUGCCUAAAGUAGACCAUAUCUAUUCCGUUAUUGGGUCAAGCUGCUGCAAUUAGUACUUUGACAUCAUAGCCAAUUCACGACUUGAUGUGAGAAAUGAUAUAUUAAAUUAAUAAUAUGAUUUUGUUCAAUUUUUGUUUAUGAUAAUCCACAUGAUGACGCAAUAUUUUUUAAGGAAGAAGAACAUAAUAUCUCACAUCACUAGUAACUGAGUUUCUAUAAUGAUAUAUAAAUCACAGACUCUUUUAACUAAGUAUUACAUAUCCUGGGGUGCACAAUCUAAUAACAAAAUUAUGACGGAUUGUGUGCUCCAAAAUGGCAAAAUCUACCUGGUUGUUAAGUAUGAGUAGUUAACUUCCAACUCAAUUAAAGUACUUUCUAAAAAUCAUUAUUCCAUAUCAGAAGAAAAUUGCAAAAGAUUAAAGCUAUAUAAUUCAACCUUGACGCCGUGAGGUUUUUAAACCAACAAGCCAUUGGUCAAUGUAUAUCUAAUGGAAUGUAAGAAAGUUGGUCCACGAAAUGAGCUAGAUUGAGAUUGUACAUAAAAUAACAUGGAUAGAUGCUAAUGUAAUUGCUACCACGAAGCUAACUUGCAGUCCAUUUUUUUUUUCCUUUUUAUCUGGUGUGAUUGUAUGAAAAAUGAGAGCGAACAUAACUUAUAAAUAAGAAUGAAUCAUAAACAGCAUCCAAAAUUCAGUUAAUAAAAAUUCAAUUAAAUGAAGUUAUUUUGUAGAUAAUUCUGAUAAUAAAGUACCUAUUUUGAGUAAUCUUAAACUUCAAUAUCCCGACGAUAGCUUAUUGUAAUUGAGAGAUUGAGAGUACCACGAUCAAACUAUUACUUGGAGGGAACAGAAAAAUAAAGUUGAUUUUUUUUUUUCAAAUUGGGUAUAGAUAAAUGGGAGAUUUUCGUACAACUGAAUGCAUGUAAAAGAAAACAAUUUUAAUAGAAAAGGGAAAAAACCAUUCGAACUUUACUUGUAAGUAAAGGCGAAUAAUUAUAAAUGAAAAAAUAAAAAAGUAAAGACAACUAACUUGGUUCAAGAAAAGAAAAACGACUGGAAGAUGGAA
rnacentral:lncRNA from 1 species